rnacentral:rRNA from 1 species
AGUGAACGCUGGCGGUAGGCCUAACACAUGCAAGUCGAACGGCAGCACAGUAAGAGCUUGCUCUUACGGGUGGCGAGUGGCGGACGGGUGAGGAAUACAUCGGAAUCUACUUUUUCGUGGGGGAUAACGUAGGGAAACUUACGCUAAUACCGCAUACGACCUACGGGUGAAAGCAGGGGAUCUUCGGACCUUGCGCGAUUGAAUGAGCCGAUGUCGGCUUAGCUAGUUGGCGGGGUAAAGGCCCACCAAGGCGACGAUCCGUAGCUGGUCUGAGGGGAUGAUCAGCCGCACUGGAACUGAGACACGGUCCAGACUCCUACGGGAGGCAGCAGUGGGGAAUAUUGGACAAUGGGGGCAAGCCUGAUCCAGCCAUACCGCGUGGGUGAAGAAGGCCUUCGGGUUGUAAAGCCCUUUUGUUGGGAAAGAAAAGCAGCAGGUUAAUACCCCGCUGUUCUGACGGUACCCAAAGAAUAAGCACCGGCUAACUUCGUG